rnacentral:tRNA from 1 species
CUUGUGGUAGCUCAGUGGUAGAGCACAUGUCUAGCAAACAUAAGCCCUAAGUUUGGUUCUCAGCUCUAACA